CCCAAGGGCAUCUGGAUACAGCCAUUCCUGGUGGGUUUGCUGCUGCCUCAACACCCAGACCUUCUCCAGGCAGGAAGUUCAGCAAAAUGCAGGCGCCGAGGAGGAUUCUGCAGCUUUGACGGUUGCAGCUCCCAAACAAAACCUAUUGGAAGAUGUUCUGCAGUCAGUGUGUGCUGCAAGAGUCGCUGGGUUUGAAACCCUGAAAUUCC